rnacentral:rRNA from 1 species
UACGAAGGGGGCGAGCGUUGUUCGGAUUUACUGGGCGUAAAGGGCGCGUAGGCGGCCUUGUCAGUCAGGCGUGAAAGCCCCGGGCUCAACCUGGGAACGGCGCUUGGGACGGCGAGGCUGGAGUUCGGGAGAGGAGAGUGGAAUUCCCAGUGUAGCGGUGAAAUGCGUAGAUAUUGGGAGGAACACCAGUGGCGAAGGCGGCUCGCUGGACCGGUUCUGACGCUGAGGCGCGAAAGCGUGGGGAGCAAACGGG